AAUUGAGAAUAUCUGCAGCCCUGAAACAAGCUUCAUUUGUCAAUGUCGUAUUAAAAGACAAAUAUUGUAAUUCGAAAUAAUAACUUCCAGAAAUUUGAUUUGAAAUCAUUAUGAAUGCGGUAUAAGGAAUAAAUCUGUAUAUGGGACCGCGAGAGAUAUUUCGUAAUUUAAUUUUUAAAUUCUUUGGGCGUUGUGAUCCUCAUUAUUCGUGUUUAUUGGCAUAAAAGGUGUCUUUAACAUUGAAUUAUUGAAAUUAUUUUAACCAUAAAGUGGUUCAAAGGAGGGAAGGUGGUACACUAUUACUGAUAAUAGAUCUCUGUAAAGAAUAUGGUAAGUUAUAUUGGUUUGGAAGAAAUUAUAUUGAUUAUUUGUGGAAUAAGUUGUUGUGUAUUGCGUGAUAAGAAAGUGGGAGCAUGAACAAAAACCAGUGCGGAAGAGAUAGAAUUUCAUGUGCUACAAAGUACUUGGGCCAGAGAAGUAGUGCAGGAAGUGUACAAGAGACGUCUUCUUGUGCCAACAGACUUACAACUAGUGACUGGCUAAAUAUUUGAUUCGUAGUUUUUCUUUUUUCAAUAAAAAUUGUACAUUCACUUAAGUUACUAUGCUACCAAUUUCAGUGCAAA